rnacentral:rRNA from 1 species
UACGUAGGGGUGCGAGCGUUUGUCCGGAAUUAUUGGGCGUAAAGGCUCGUAGGCGGUCUGUCACGUCGAAAGUGAAAACUCAGGGCUCAACCCUGAGCCUGCUUCCGAUACGGGCAGACUAGAGGUAUGCAGGGGAGAAUGGAAUUCCUGGUGUAGCGGUGAAAUGCGCAGAUAUCAGGAGGAACGCCAGUGGCGAAGGCGGUUCUCUGGGCAUUACCUGACGCUGAGGAGCGAAAGUGUGGGGAGCGAACAGG